GGAGGGAUGGCAGAGCGGUAAUGCAGCAGAUUGCUAAUCUGUGGGCCUGAAAGGGUCUCGAGAGUUCGAUUCUCUCUCCCUCCGCCA
rnacentral:tRNA from 1 species